CGGCUCGUGGUCAAAGGCCAAAGAACUGGGGAAAGAACCAGACCGAACCCCUCCAACCUCCCGCUUCGGCCGCAAUCGCUCGGUCGGGUGAAUCUGCCAACUCGACGCGAUUCGGGUGGGGUUGGCUGGCAUAUGCUCGCCGCGACAACUCCAGACAUGAGACGGCCCCCGGCGGGACGGCAAUCCCGGCCGAGGGCCUGAUCCACGAGGAAGCAAGCCCUUCCCA
rnacentral:ncRNA from 1 species